rnacentral:lncRNA from 1 species
CUCCGCCUCCCGGGCUCAAGCCAUUCUCCUGCCUCAGUCUCCCGAGGAGCUGGGACUACAGGUGCACACCACCAAGCCUGGCUGAUUUUUGCAUUUUUAGUAGGGACAGUAUUUCACCAUGUUGGUCAGACUGGUCUUGAACUCCUGGCCUCAAGCGAUCUGCCCGCCUCGGCCUCCCUAAGUUUUCGGAUCACAGGCGUGAGCCACCACGCCCAGCCGGAUUGCAAUUUUAAAUAGCAUAAUCAGAGAGGCUUAAUGGAAGAGGUAAUAUUUGAGGAAAGACCUGAAGAAGGUAAGGGAGUAGGCACUGAAGAUAUUGGGGGAACAGUGCUCCCCGAGACAUCUGGGCAGCCAGGCACAGGGACCACAAGCAGAAAAGGGUCCUGUGAGGGUUUCGUGUUUUCUUUACAAUUUGUCAAUGUGAACACCAUGCUCACACCAAAGAACAGCAAGUUUCCUACCUGGCUUCUCUGCCUUCCUCCUUCCUUCCCUCCCUUCCUCCCUCCUUCCUUCCUUUCUUCCUUUCUUCCUUCCGUUCUCCCUUUCUUCCCAAUAUGCCCCACUUCAAUGGAUGAGUUUUCCAGCUCCCUCGGCUGCUUUCUGCAUUGCACAUGACAAGUAUCCACUAAAUAUUCAUUCAUUAGAAACAGCCAGACGAUGCUGAGCCUCUGUAGCUCUCUAGCAUCUACCAUAGCACAGAUCUCAGGAAGACCCACAAGAUACAUUUGUCAACAAGUCGAUGGCCUCCUAUGUGGCCCUGUGCUGUGUGCUGAGGCUACAGGAAGGAACAAAGCCUCCUAUCUGGGGGCCCACUUCUGCAGUUAAGUUCAUCUGGUGUCCUUUGUAAUACUGCAAAGAGAACUUCUUACGCUGUAGCUGAAUGAGAGAAAUAUCCCAUUCCAAACCUCUGAUGGAAACUGGCCAAGUCAGCGUGUGAGAGGAAGAAGGAAGUGUGUGGCACCUCCUGCCUCGCUCUCUUCCUCCUGUUCCGGCCAUGUGAAGUGCUGGCUCCUCAUUUUCCUUCCACCAUGAUUGGAAGCUUCCUGAGGCCUCACCAGAAGCAGAUGCUGCCAUGCUUCCUGUACAGCCUGCAGAACCGUGAGCCAAUUAAACCUCUCUUCUUAUAAACUACCCAGUCUCAGGUACUUCUUUAUAGCAGUGUGAGAACAGACUAAUACAAUGACUACUGAUCAUAGUGGAUUGGCCACUGGAGAGAAAGCUGAUGGAGCAGAGAGCACUUGGGAAGAAACCAUUAAACACUGAAAGAGGAAGAGGUGGUGGAGAUACAUUGGAGAGAACAAAUACAAUAGACUUAUCUGAGGUCAAAUCAACAGAACCCAGCAACGGAUCAGACAGAGAGAGAAAGCAGAAAGAGUGAAAUAAAACUCCACGGUUCUAGCCUGAGUGAUUAAGGGCAGAGCAAUGUUCUGGACCUUGCUGGGAGAUUCAGGAAGAAGAGGGAAAUCUGGGUUUAUUUCAAGGAGGGGUGGGAAGGAGAGAUGAGAUGAAGGAGGACCAGGAAAAUAAAAUAUUUCAAGUUAGCUAUGCUGCAUUGGAAGUGCUUACCGCAUAUCCAGGUAAGACGUCCACUGGGUAGUUAAGAUCUAUGGGUCUGGAACCCAGGAGAGAAAUUGGGGUUGGAAAUGCAGACUUGGGAGUCAAAAUCAUAAUGAUGUUCUCAGUCUUUUGGAUUUCAAAUUUUAGUAAAAUUAUCAAAAGAAAAAAAGCAAUUUGCACGAGUAACUUUUUUGUUUGUGAAUUACCACCAUCUACUUUCACAAAGAACCAGACACUGUAAUUCCCAAAAGGUAUAAAAGGCAUCAUCUUAGAAUAAAAGGUCCUCCUUCAAAGAGAGUAAAUUUAGCCUUAUGGAAAACUUCCUCCAUCAUCCCCAUUUUUCUCAUUUUGCUGCAAACCUGUAAAACUUGUAUCCCACAGACAGUUUGGAUUGCAUUUGGCCACCAUGGGUUUGAGACAUGGCGGGAACAAAAGUGUGAGUUCUUUUGUUUGUUUUUUAGAGACAGAAUCUCACUCUGUUGCCUAGACUGGAGUGCAGUGGCACAGUCAUGGCUCACUGCAGCCUCAAACCCCUGGGCUCAAGGGAUCUUUCUGCCUCUGCCUCCCAGAUAGCUGGGGCCAGAGGUGUGCACCACCACACCUGGCUAUUUUUUUUAAUUUUUGUAGAGACGAGGUCUCACUAUGUUGCCCAGGCUGGUCUUGAACUCCUGCCUCAAGCAAUCCUCCUGCCUUGGCCUCCCAAAGUGCUGGUAUUACAGGCCUGAGCCACAAAGCCUGGCCAACCGUGAGGUCUGAUGAGACACCUUGUAAGAGCAUUUAGAGCUCACAGGGAAGAUGGGG